rnacentral:rRNA from 1 species
UACGUAGGGUGCGAGCGUUGUCCGGAAUUAUUGGGCGUAAAGAGCUCGUAGGCGGUGUGUCACGUCGGCCGUGAAAACCUGCAGCUUAACUGUGGGCGUGCGGUCGAUACGGGCAUCACUGGAGUUCGGCAGGGGAGACUGGAAUUCCUGGUGUAGCGGUGAAAUGCGUAGAGAUCAGGAAGAACACCGGUGGCGAAGGCGGAUCUCUGGGCCAUUACUGACGCUGAGGAGCGAAAGCGUGGGGAGCGAACAGG